rnacentral:rRNA from 1 species
CAGUCGCCGCGGUAAUACGAAGGGUGCAAGCGUUAAUCGGAAUUACUGGGCGUAAAGCGUGCGUAGGUGGUGGUUUAAGUCCGUUGUGAAAGCCCUGGGCUCAACCUGGGAAUUGCAGUGGAUACUGGGUCACUAGAGUGUGGUAGAGGAUAGUGGAAUUUCCGGUGUAGCAGUGAAAUGCGUGGAGAUCGGAAGGAACAUCUGUGGCGAAGGCGACUAUCUGGGCCAACACUGACACUGAGGCACGAGAGCGUGGGGAGCAAACAGGAUUAGAUACCCCUGUAGUCCCUGUCUCUUAUAC